rnacentral:lncRNA from 1 species
GAGCCCUCACCGCUGCCAGCACAGGCUGCUCCUCAGGGGCUGAGCUGCUGUCCUUCAGGUGGCGGGACGAUCCUGAGACAGUCAGCUUGCAAGCCUGUUUGGUUUUUGCGUGCAGAUGCUGCGCCUUUGUACCUAUGGUUACAUGUCCAAGGAAGCCAGAUGCAAACUUCAGGCAUCUUCCUUGAUCUCCACACAUGGACCCUUUCCACCUUGUAUUGUGAGAGUCUCUCAGUGAAUCUGGGGUUCACCAAUUGGGCUGCACCAGCUGGCCACUGAACCUCAGGCAUCCUCCUGCCUCUGCCUUGCCAGCUGUUUGCCCCCUUGUCUAGGUGGUGCUGGGAUCUGAACUCAGGCUGGCAUGCCAAGCACACCCGCUGAGUCGCUUCCCCAGCCUGUGUUUCAUUCAUUUUAGAAAAAUGGACUAGCCCACGAAGUCGCCACUUUAAUGGUCAGGUUACCCUGUCUGAGUUCAGGGACAGCUGCUUUUUGCUGUUGCCCUCUUCGGCCCACCCGUACACAUUUUGUGCUGAUUGUACUUCCGUGGCCUGCUGACAGGAUUUCCCUGUCUGCUGGGGGAGGUGCUGGCCCUUUUGGAUGACCACAUCGGGCUUACUGAGUGCCUAGCCAAACCGUAUCAGAUGCUUUCUUCCCACGAGUUCUAGAUGUCCUAUGUGGGGACCAAAAACCAAAACAAACACCAAACACCAAACGUGUUCUCUUAGAUCACAGCUUUAAGGACUGGGUUGGCACUGGGGGUGGAGGCCUGGGGCUGUGGAACAGAUGGCUACAAACAAAAUAUGGCCCUGUCACCUAGGAGAUCCUACGGAUACAGCUACAGUCGUCUGUCUUAAGCACAGUGUGUCCUCGUGUGCCCCCCAGAAGGGAAAAGCAAACCCCCACACCCACCACUUGAGCUUGAAGUCUUCCGUCUUCCUGUCUCCCUGCAGGUGAACCAGAACAGUACCUCCCCACACCUGGGAAGUUCGUGAUUUCCAGUCUCCACAGGGCUCAGAUGCCUGAGUCCUCGACCUGCACACGGAAGCUGGACUAACCCAAGCACAUGGCUCUCGGUCAUGCCAGGAUGGAGCAGUCAUACAUCUCGGCAGAAGCUAGCUCAGAACCUCUGUUCUGGGCAACACCGAGGAGGGAGAGACUACUUCGGUUUCAGAGACUUGGGGAUUUUCUAUUUUUUUUUUCUCCUUGAGAACUUUUUUUAAAAGAAUUGAAUUUGCUAUCUUCCCUAAUGGACAGGCUCCUUGGUGACCUCAUCUCCUGGGAUAAGACCUGUGACCCGUGCCUCUCCUUGACUGGACGCUGAACUCAAAGGAUCUAUUUAAGAGUUUAAUAUAUGGGCUCUCCUCUCUUUAGUCCUACUCAGUUUCACAGAGAAAAGAAAUUAAUUAUUUGAAUAAAGUAGACAGGCUGCUGUCUGUGCCUUACUUCACACAGUGA